rnacentral:lncRNA from 1 species
GACAAUUCAUGAACAUAAUAUAUCUUUCUUUUCCUUAACAGAAAAUCCAGAUCAGCCCGAUUGGUCCUGAAUGAUUCUGCAGUUUCUGAUGCCAUCAGUGUUGACCAACACACAGCCCAGCACAACAUUAUUUCAAUCUGAAUGGUGCAAAACCAUAUGCCUCUCCUGACGCCUGAGUAGCACUAGGAUGUACAGUGAAUGGAGACUGAGGCUGUAAUACUCAGUGACAUGGAUUUAUUUUUAAAGUAAAUUCAUAAUUGUGAUCCAAAUCAAGUUUAACAAGUCUCAAACCGGAGUAACUGGGACCCUUUCAGGUUAUAUGUUUGUAUGUGGAGUAGAAUGGACAUUCAAUGUCUUACCAAUUAGGAUGGGAGCUGCUUUUUGACCCACCGAUUGUCCUCUAUAAUAAUUGAUAUUGACACUAAGGACCAAUGAAUUAUUUUAACUCUUAAAUUUUUUAGUUGUAGUUGGACACAAUACCUUUAUUUUAUUUAUUAUUAUGUGGUGCUAAGGAUCAAACCCAGCACCUCAACGUGCUAGGCAAGCACUCUAGUGCUGAGCCACAACCCCAGCCCUUUUAACCACUUUUGGGUGGGUCAUUAUGGAUUACAUACUGUUGGGGCAGGCCUCAAAAUGGCUGUAGUUAGCCUGCCAGAAGUAUUGGUGAGGGAGCCUAUGUUAUGUAUUUAAUGUGUUGUCAGGGCUGGGAACUGGCUAUGUUAUGGUUAGUCAAGAUCAGAAACUUAGACUCAAGGUCAUAAACAUUGACUUAUGAGCAUGGACCCCUCUAUGUAACCUGUUGGUAGUGUGCUUUCUUUGUUUGGCCUGCAUAUAAAAAGGAACUAAAGGAAAUAGGCUAAGGGGAGGACUAAAAUGAACUGGCUGGGGGCUGGCUAGUUGCUGUGGCCACCACUGAAUAAAGCAUGUCUACUAUCUAUUUUGUAUCUUCUUCCACCUGCCAAACCCCAAAUCUGUUUCCCAAGUCAGAGCCCCCACACGACACAGACUGACUUUAGAACACAUGCUGGGUGGUAGAAGGAAUAAUAGCCACCUCAAAAUGUCUACAUCCUAGUCCCCA